AUUCCUCAGUAACGGCGAGUGAAGCGGUAACAGCUCAAAUUCGGAAUCUGGCCUCACGGUCCGAGUUGUAAUUUGUAGAGGAUGCUUCGAGCAUGGUCUGGCCUAAGUUCCUUGGAACAGGACGUCAUAGAGGGUGAGAAUCCCGUAUGCGGCCAGGUGCCUACGCUCAUGUGAAGCUCCUUCGACGAGUCGAGUUGUUUGGGAAUGCAGCUCAAAAUGGGUGGUAAAUUUCAUCUAAAGCUAAAUAUUGGCCAGAGACCGAUAGCGCACAAGUAGAGUGAUCGAAAGAUGAAAAGCACUUUGGAAAGAGAGUUAAACAGUACGUGAAAUUGUUGAAAGGGAAGCGCUUGCAACCAGACUUGCGCGCGGCCGAUCAUCCGGUGUUCUCACCGGUGCACUCGGCCGUGCUCAGGCCAGCAUCGGUUUUGGCGGCUGGAUAAAGGCCCUAGGAAUGUAGCUCCUCUCGGGGAGUGUUAUAGCCUAGGGUGCAAUGCAGCCUGCUGGGACCGAGGACCGCGCUUCGGCUAGGAUGCUGGCGUAAUGGUUGUAUGCGGCCCGUCUUGAAACACGGACCAAGGAGUCUAACAUCUAUGCGAGUGUUUGGGUGUCAAACCCAUACGCGUAAUGAAAGUGAACGGAGGUGAGAACCCUUAAGGGUGCAUCAUCGACCGGUCCUGAAGUUUACGGAAGGAUCUGA
rnacentral:rRNA from 1 species